rnacentral:rRNA from 2 species
ACCUACAAGCGGUGGAUCA